rnacentral:rRNA from 1 species
AUACGGAGGGUGCAAGCGUUACUCGGAAUCACUGGGCGUAAAGGACGCGUAGGCGGGUUGGCAAGUCAGAUGUGAAAUCCUACAGCUUAACUGUAGAACUGCAUUUGAAACUGCUAACCUAGAGUAUGGGAGGGGGAGAUGGAAUUAGUGGUGUAGGGGUAAAAUCCGUAGAUAUCACUAGGAAUACCGAAAGCGAAGGCGAUCUCCUGGAACAUAACUGACGCUAAGGCGUGAAAGCGUGGGGAGCAAACCGGAUUAGAAACCCUUGUAGUCC